rnacentral:rRNA from 1 species
UACGGGGGGAGCAAGCGUUGUUCGGAUUUACUGGGCGUAAAGGGCGCGUAGGCGGCCACCGCAAGUCAAUUGUGAAAUCUCCGGGCUUAACUCGGAAAGGUCAACUGAUACUGCGGGGCUAGAGUGCAGAAGGGGCAACUGGAAUUCUCGGUGUAGCGGUGAAAUGCGUAGAUAUCGAGAGGAACACCUGCGGCGAAGGCGGGUUGCUGGGCUGACACUGACGCUGAGGCGCGAAAGCUAGGGGAGCGAACG